rnacentral:lncRNA from 1 species
UUACCAUGGAUACAUCAAACCUUCGCUAAACCAUACUAACUUCUUCGUGCUUUACUAACAUCACAUCUCAAACUAACACCCUCGUCAACCUCUAAUGCCCAAGUUAACUCACAAUUACAUCGUAUACCACAUAUCCUCAUUCAUACUUACCCGAUCAAGGAUAACACUAAUCGUUUAACAUUUAAUAACUUAAAAAAAUCCCCAUAACACCUUGAGCAUACUACUACCUCAACACACAAUAUCA